CAACUGUGUGAAUUAAUGUAAACUGCAUACUGCUUUGAACAUCGACAUCUUGAACGCAUAUUGCGGCCAUGGGUUAGCCUGUGGCCACGCCUGUCCGAGGGUCGGCUUAUGAACUAUCACGACGCCCAAACAGUCGUGGCUUGGGUCUUGCCAGCUGGCGUGGUUUCCUCCAUGAAUCCCGUGCGAGGUGCCAGAUCUAUGGCGUUUCCCUAAUAAUUCCGGACGCAUCCUCGUGAUGGCUGCUGGCACACGCAGGUUGUGAUGGCGGAAUCGUGGUUUAGUAUAGCUGUUCCCCGUUGUUGGUGUGCCCUGCGGGCAUGCGCGCGGGUUGGGCUGUGAUUGGGUUGGUGCUCCGAAGUCUGUACACUUGGCGCAAUCCUAGUCGGUGUACGUUUGAUGUCGGGGAUAAUCCCACACCAGGCACGUUUCGCCAUUACUACUGCGCUAUCGGUUGAAUGCCAGCGUGGACAAUGCAUCCGUCAUUCGUUAUUGUGGCGCAUUUGUCUCGCAACGGGUGGAUCAUCCCAAUGCGUUGCGACCAGUGAGCCUUCCUGACCUCGGAUCAGACGUGAUUACCCGCUGAACUUAAGCAUAUCACUAAGCGGAGGAAAAGAAACUAACCAGGAUUCCCUCAGUAACGGCGAGUGAAGAGGGAGGAGCCCAGCACCGAAGCCUGUGGUCGUUUGGCCAUUAGGCAAUGUGGUGUUUAGGUCGGCUCGCGGAGGUGCUGCCCCACCCUAAGUCCUAUAAUGAGUAAGGUUACUCGGACGUGGCCCGAAGAGGGUGAAAGGCCCGUGGGGGUG
rnacentral:rRNA from 1 species